UACGUAGGGGGCAAGCGUUGUCCGGAAUCAUUGGGCGUAAAGCGCGUGUAGGCGGUUCGGUAAGUCCGCUGUGAAAGUCGGGGGCUCAACCCUCGGAUGCCGGUGGAUACUGUCGAGCUUGAGUACGGAAGAGGCGAGUGGAAUUCCUGGUGUAGCGGUGAAAUGCGCAGAUAUCAGGAGGAACACCAAUUGCGAAGGCAGCUCGCUGGGACGUUACUGACGCUGAGACGCGAAAGCGUGGGGAGCAAACAGG
rnacentral:rRNA from 1 species